UACCAUGAAGAAAACUGCGAAUAGGAAGUGCCGUCUUAUGAGACAACUGACGAUUUCGUUCUUCAGAGUGAAU